AUGAGUUCGAGUUCCGACUCUGACUCAUCUUCGAGUUCCGCAUCUUCAUCUAAAUCUUUUCAAGCACCUUUUCAGACAUUAUUAAAUUAAAGUCGAAAAGAUUUGAAGUUAGCAAACGUAGGUCGUCGGUCCUCGCCAAUUGGAUUGUGAAGGGCUUAGGUGAGAAGAACCUUAAGGCGGCUGAGAGGCGUACAGACCUGACGUCAAGCGUGACAAAAGGCUAGUGUCAGUGCCUCUGAACUGUUCACGAACCCGAAAUUGGACGAGACUUUUUACGCGGCCCUUAAAUCUACAAAGAAUUCGAAUGCAUCGAUGCCCAACAUUGAUCAGCUGGAAAAGUGUACCGGAAGCAGACGGACGUCGUCCUGGACAUGGCCAAACCUCUUCUUUUUCUUCUUGAGAGGAAAGUAAGAGAAGCGACAAGGACACCAAAGCAUUAAAGACGCUGUCACUACUCUGGGCCCAUCUUUUCCGUGAGAUUACCCACUCCAGACGUCUCAACAUCCUCUCCCAGACUCACCCAAACCACAUCGGCCUACUUUCCCGUGCAGCAGAGAAACUCCCUGUUGGCGGCGAGGACCUUUUGGAACAGGUUCGUGAACGAACUCAUCUCCCAAGUCAAACUGCUUCCUUGAUGAAUAGUUCUGCAGCGGGGCCAUCAGCUACUUCAACACCUGGGAAACGUAAACGUUCACCUCCCCUUUACAAGACUCUCGCAAGGAUAAGAGUAACUACAGCUUCGACCGGUAUGUCAAACCUCCAUUUAUUUCGAAAAUUGAUUUGCCAAUUGCCGGUCGCACUGCCCAUUUUGUUGAUGCAUGGGCCCAUUUGACUAAAGAUCCGUGGUAUACCGCCGAACGCAUCAAUGGAUGCCGUUCAGCUAGAUCUUUGUUCAGCUGGGUGGAGUCUCUCAUCAAAAAGGGCGCGGUAGUAGAGACAGAGGAGAAAGGGGGCUACGUCAGCCGAUACUUUCUUGUCCCAAAGAAAGGACCAAACGAAUGGAGGCCUAUCAUUAACCUAAAGCCUUUGAAUCAGUUUCUUUCUUGCCGCCAUUUUAAAUGGAAGGGAUUGCCAGUUCGUCACACAGUGAGGCGGGGAUUUUCUGGCUAA